UUCACCACCUCAACUCCCUGCACCUGCAUUUAACAUACGGAGAGUUACUCAAGGAACGGCAGUCCCUCCUCACCUCCCUCCACCCCCACACUAGCCCUCAACGUGCAGCGAACAGAGGAGCUUUGUGCUGUGAGGAAAAACAUGGUGACACGGUCUGCCACGGACACUGAGGUCACCAAACACGCAAUCAGGUGUUUCAACCGGCGGUGGAUCGGACAACGAGGAGAU